AAACCAUUCUGGGAUCCAGUGAUCUCCCACAGCCUCAGGCAGCGCUGUGUGUAGCCCACCUAAGGCCAACCUCUUUCCUUCAAACACACUCAUAUUGACCCAUAUUGUUUUGAUUUUGGCAUCUGGCCUUUGCCACCUCUGCUUGAAAUGGUGCUACAAGACCAUUUUGUGUCAGCAGCUUAGCAGGUGACACCAGGCGUGUGUCUCUGCUCAGAUGUGUCCCCAGGACUCUGCCCCUCCAUCUAUCUCUUCUGAUGGACCAAGAAAUACACACAGCCUUUGAAAGCCCACGGAGUGACUCUCCAAAUUCAUAAUCUGCAGAAAGACAUUAAUGUUUGCAUGUGGUGUCAGAACAAGAUAAGUGUCUGUGCAAUUAAGGAACAGCUGCUGCUGGCAGCUUGCCCCAACCAGUCUCAACAAGGAGCAAGACAGGUAGCCUGGUUUUAUCAGACUCUGGGAUCCCCUUCCAACCACCCCGGUGUGUUCCCAGCAAGACAAUAAACCAAGCAUUUCUAUUAGCCUGUAGGAAUGGCCCCUUUGGUUUGGGGCCAAAACACAAGAUUAAGUUGUUCUGAGACAGAAUGCACCGUGGUGAGGACAGCAUGUUUCCCCCAACAACACCUGGCAGCAGGGAUUCAAAGCAGUGCUGAAAUCAGGCCAAUCUAAAGAUUUGCUGGGCUUGAUAGUGAUGCGAAACAAGGACAGGUGUGGCCAUAUUUCCAAAAUCGCCCCCGGCCAGUGUUUCAGGAACUUGGCAGCACCUGGCUGGGACAGAUUUUCUAAGGAGGUCAGCACCCAAGAUGUGGAGUCGGUGUGAAAACCUGUCCCAGAAUAUCUAGCAGAGAAAUACAUACCUUGAGGAUAGCACAAAUGUUUCCCCACUGCACCAGGAGCAAGGAGAGCUCAGACCCUUCUGCAGCCCCUGGACACAGCCUGGCAGUGCUAACCACCUCUCCUACUCCCAGCCAGAGAUCCCCAAAAAUAUGGAAUAACCCCUUCAAGGCUCUUCUGUGCUCCCCUCGGGACAAGAAAACACUGCUUGGUUCAGCUUUGCAUCAGCACAACUCUUCCUUCAGCACAUCCUUUGGGACAGAUUGGAUACUUAGUUUGGAUUUGUUAACAUUGCUGGUCAUAAAAAUGUCUGCUUCAAAGAAACUGAUAGAUACUGUCCUUAGGAAAUUGGGCUUUGAUGCCUUAUUUGAUUUCCAUGGCAAACUGCUGUCAUUACCCUCUGCUCCAGAGCUGAGCUGCACCUACUGAGGAGCCUUUUCCUAGCUCAGACCAGGGCAGCAGGCAACACUUGGGAUUUGAAGACACUGGCAAAGAAAAAAGCAGCCCACAAAUAGCCGGUAGAAAGCCCUACAACAUGGCAGCAAACAUUUCCUAAUUUACUGCAAUGCCAGAAGAGGAGCCGGUGUGAGCAGCACAGGAGUCCUCCACACCUCAGCAACUUUCUGCUCUCUGUUCCACCAGAGUGAACCAGGAAUGGAGCAGCUCUUUUGGCAAGUUCUGUGAACCCUUUGGUUUGUCUCUGCUGCAUCUGGGCAGUGAUGGCACAGGAGGUGAGGGAAUCAUUUUGCUUCUCCUGAGGCAGAUUCACUAAAAGGUCCCACCCUAUGGACCAGAGCUGAGCUCUGGUUUUUUUUGCACUAUCCCUACCCUUCAGGAGCUGACUGCAAGCUCACACAGGUGAUGUUCCUUAAAUCCUUAACUUCCAGAAGGACAGAAUUGCAUCAGAACCUCCACUUUCAGCUCACUCAGCUCAGUUCAUCUCAUCUCUUACCUGGGCCAAGACAAGUGCUGGCCACCUCACCCUUCAUGGAGAUCACUGGACAAGAGGAGUCGAGGCCACUGUCUGCUGUGAGCUUCCCAGCUUGUCCACCUGGGAAUUGUAAAAUUCCCUUUCCACGCACAGGUAGGAAAUCACAUUUAGUAUUUCAGCCAGUGGGGUAGAAAUGGGGGCAGCACCUCAGAAGCUGCUUCUCAACCACUCCCUGAUUUUCAACCCAGCCACAGUGGCACGUUGGGAGCUGUUUGAGCAGGCACCAGGCUCCCUGAGAGCCCGAGCCCAGGCAGGGAGCAGCGUGCUCUGGCCACGUUGCCUCCAUCCUGCCUGUCCCAGCUCGCCCUGAACCGCCUGCCUGUCUGCCCCAAAAAUCCCUCCUCGCUACUCAAAGGAUAUAAAGGGAACAUGGGGCAAAGCACAGAACAAUUCUUCAGCCUCUGAAGCUGUUAAAAAUAUUUUUGAUAAAGGUACACAUAAGCACAGCUGAGCUCCAGUGAACACCUUCUUGUUUCUCAUGGUAAUUUUAUAUUGUUCCUGAAGCAGAGCCUGAUUUUUCUCUUUGUGAAAGGAGAAUUUUAAUUCUGGUCCUAUUCAUUAAUCAUAUCAAAACACAAGGUAUGCAGAUGUUAUUUUUCAGUAAUUUUAAGGUGCUGGUGUAUUAGUGAAAGGUUAAGAAAUGCAAAAUAGCUGUAAAGCGUUUGGGUUUUUUCUUGAAGUGUUUGGUUUCCUCACAUUAUUGCAGACUGCAUAUAUCUUUAUUUCUCAGUAAGAGCAAACUGUGGUCCUGAACCUCUACAACUCCAAACACAAGCAAAGAUAGUGACUUUUUGAAAUUAAAGAACAAAUAGUUCCACGAAAAAUGAGCACUGUCACAAAAGAAGCAUAAACUUCUCCUGCCUAGUGGUGGCUUCCAAGGCAUCAGACAUUUUGUAAACUAGCAAUUGGAUCCAGAAUUGGGACGGUCCUGCUUUUCCCGUUCAUUUUUCCACUAUGAGAGUGUCCAAAACUCUCUGAAAUAAAGGAUUACUGUCAAGGGGUUCAGAAAGUCGUAUUUUCAUAGAACAGUUCAUUCUGACAGGUAACCCCAGCAAGCACACAAGCUGUUCCAUUAAAUGUCAUGGCCUUAAGCUUAAAAACGUAUCCCACAUCCCAAGCCCAACUGUUUGUUUUCAGGAGUGUUCUCAGUGCUGCUGUGGCCCAGAGUUUAGAUCAGUGGUUUAGCUGCCUAUACCUCAUUUAGAGGUUGUAAUCAAGUGAGACCCACUUUGGUUUAGUGUUUAGCAAAUUAUCUUCACCCUUUUGCCACUAAAUCACUGUACAAGCACGAGCAAACCACUCUGCUCUUCCUCUCCUUCCCCUUAUUCAAAUGUACCCAGGCCAUGACUUGUGAUAUGACUGUGAGGAGUGAAGAUCUAUCCAUCAAUAUGGGCAGAAAAUUCUGGAAGCUCAAGGUCACAACAUGAAUUCUGAGUGUAGCCAUGAGAUUUGAGUAUUAUCAAAAUUUUUCUGGAUGAAAAAGCAUGGAAUGCCCAUGGUUUUCUAUCAAAAGCAGGCAAAAAGAAAUGUUGGUCCCCAGAACAGAAAUCUGCUCUGAUAUCACCCUGACGUAAUAUGGUCUUAUCAGGUCUGAGGCAGGUCCUUCUGCCUCUGGGCUUGCAAAAUGUGCUGGGCCAAGAAUUGAGAAAAUAGAAGAUUAUUUAACUUCACCCCAUUUCAAAAUGUAGUAAGAAUGUAUUUCUGCAUUAAAAAAAUGUAUUUAACUUCCCCAUCUGUGUUUCACUUGAUUCAUAUAUUCAAGCCAUUUUCUAAAGCUGUGAACAACAACUUUUAAAUAAGAGUUCAGAUUGUUAAAUAAUCACAAACUAUCAGAAACUUGGCCUUU